AGUGGGGUUUAGGAUUUAGGAUUUAGGGUUUAGAGUUUAGGGUUUAGAUUUUAGGGUUUAGGGUUUAGGGUUUAGGGUUUAAAGUUGAGAAAUGAGGUUUUGGGGAUAAGAUUUCAAAUUUUGAAAAAUAAAAAAAUUAAAAUUUUCAAAGGAUAAACUUAAAAAGAUGCUAUUUUGGUCAUUUUAGUUUUUGAGUGCUAUUUUUGUGAUAUAAACUUAGAAAGAUGCUAUUUUGGAGAUUUGCCACGAGUCUAAUCUAAAGAACAUUAUGAGGAAAAAAAAAAUAAAACGAAUCCAACAAUAAAUGACGGAAAAGGAGUUGGUGUUAACGGAAAAAAAAAUAUAUGUUGACUUAUUUACUUAUCUUUUUACCGAAAAAUAGGUAACUUCACAAACGAUAUCUUUUUUUUGAUCAAACGAUAUCUAAACUUCAAAUAAAAUAUAAACUUCAAAAUGUGGACAAUAAUUUUUUAUCUUCUUAUCCGGAGUCUGGGAUCGUAUUUUCACAUUACAACCAUAUAUUCCUUUUACCAAUUAAAUAUGA
rnacentral:lncRNA from 1 species